GAGCCUUUAGAAUAAACUCUUAAAAAUUUUUUUGACCAAAGUAAUGUAUGUAUGUAAUAAAAAAAGUCAAAACAAUACAACUCUUAAACCAAGAAAUGUUUUCCAUGCCCAUCCUACCCCAUACUUGAUUCCAUCUCAGAGGCAACUACUUCUAAAUCUUAAAACUUUCUAAAUAACAAGCUUAUACUGCUGCUUGUCAGUUUUUCAGGUUUAGAUAUUAUGCAUUGACUUCCUCUCUGUAUGAUGGUUUGGUUUCUUACUUUUGUGUCCCCCUUGUCUCUUACUCUUCCUUUCCUCCCUUUCUCCAAAUAUGGUCAUAAUACUGGUAAUAUGGAUUAAAUGAACAUUCAGUGAUCACAUUUCUACAGGCGUGUAAAUAUCAUUAAGGCUGAGCCUUAUAGGGUACUGGGAUUGUUCUUCCUAUUUUAUGUAACUCUUUGCCCCUGGAGUUAAUACUUGACUUAUUUGUGUUUUAAUUUGCUUGGUUUACUUGCUUUGUUUUCUAUACAGAGCUCUCCCACAUAACUGUUAAUCACAUCUUGAUCUAUUAUUAUUUUUCUCAAGAGAGAAGCCUUCUAGAGGCUCCUGUCUCCCUUCCCCUGUCAGGACUGGUGGCUCUCCAGAACUGCUACAUAUUUUCCUCACCAUUACCUUGGACUUCCCUCCUCUCUCCUGAUUUGGAUCUCCUAGUUCUGACUCCUGUGUCUUCUUAUGUCUGGGUUUACUCUCUUGGUUUUAUUGUAUAUACUAUCCAGCAGUGGCCUGAGACUGCUUAUAUGCUUUUUACCUUACUGCAUAUAAAGUUCACCCUUUUAAUGGAUGAGGAAAUAAAUGUUGGUUUUGUUUUCAACUCAACUCAAACCAAGAAAAGGAAUUCAUCCCAUGUGGAGCCCAACAAUUCCUGUUCCCAGAAUUAGGGUCAAAUUUGUUUUCUUUUGAAAUUCAGCAAGCUUUUUACACUUGGAAACUUUGAUUUGCAUUGACCUUAAUCACAGGGCAGUAGGAAAAAAUAGAAGAAAAAUCUUUAUCUGAAAAUCUAAGCUGUGACUUUCCUUCUAUCAGAGGAAAGAAUGGCAUAGAGUUUGCUCAAUUUAAAGAAAAGGGGAACUCGAACUGAGUAUCUUCAGCCCACCCACAGUCUCCCCACUUAGAGACUCUGGCAGGCGAUGUGCAAAUUGUCACAUGUGGCUGGCCUGGCUCUUUCCCAGAUUUCUGCCCUGUAUGUGGCCUUUCAGCUCUCAGAUGUGGUCCGGUGCUUCGUUUGCCACAUUUUGUUUCAGUAAAGCAUACAAGGCUUGGACAGGUGCUGGGGAUAUUGUGGUGGCUUCUGAAAUCGUUUCCCAGAAGGCAGUGACUCAUCACAGGAAACCCCUUUGUUUUCUUUCUGACCUUCCCUCCGUUUCCUGCUCCACCCAUCUGUGCGUGAGUUUUCACAUUCCUCACCAACAGACAACAACUUAUGUCUAACUUUGGUCAAGAGUGUAGGCUUCGUGCCCAGGAUGGAGCCCCCUGUGGGGCUUGAACUCAUGACCCUGAGAUUCAGACCUGAGCUGAGAUCAAGAGUCAGACGCUUAACCGACUGAACCACCCAGGUGUCCCCACAUUCAAUCCUGUCUUCUAGUCUCCAUGACGGAUGGCCUGAGACAGUGACCUGCCAGUGUUUGCCUGUUCCUUCUCCUACAUUUCCUUCAUCGCUCUCCAAGGUGCCUUAGGAUUAGCUCUUAGGAGGAAAAUACCUAAGAAGAGGUGAUUAAUCACUGUCUGAAAAGUGCUUUGAGAUCCUCUGAAGAAAGGAAACUGCAUCAGACAUGAACAGCGCCAAGCUGAGCCCUGGGCUUCCUGCUCCUGUGUUCUUUCACCGUCUCAUGCUGCCCGUCUCCUGACCAGGAACAGUUAAACCAGUGUAAAAUGUCCAGUGUUGCUGGCUACUCUGGAGGUAUCAGCAGCUCAGCCAAACUGAAGGUAUUCUAAACACAUUGCAGAGCAUCUAAAUUGAGUGGGGAGAAUUUAUAUUCUAAAAAACAUUGGAAGGCUGGGACCAUAAAGGACUACCAAAGACUCAGUCUUAAGAGCUUAAAUGGACUGAGUUGUUCCAGAGCAGAGCCCAAGGCACGGAGGCAGACGCAGAUUUGGAGCUGCUCUGAGGCAGAUGCCAAGUUGUGAAGCAGUGGGAGGGGCUGCCCCACGUAACCCCCACGCCACUGGGGCCUCUGCCUGUGGAACCCAAGCAAGAUGGACUUGCCCUCCUCCCUCGGCUUGUACCAGAGUCCAGACCUGAUAGCCUCUAAAAUUGUAUCAGCUUCCGGCCCCACAAAAUCUGGAUGUGCUCCUGGUCCCAACACAGUUGGUUGACAAACACCCUCCUGUGAGUAACAGAGGUUCAUUCUACAGUGAUGAGGAAGAGGAGGAUAUGGGCGUGGGAGUGGGGGCCAUGGUGGACACAGUUGGAUCAAGAUGGCGAGGUUGAAAAAGUUUCACCCGUGAUUCUGAUAUGCUUCCUCCUUUGCAAAUGCACCACUGCUGUGUGUUCAACCCCCAGGUCCCCAAUCCUGCCCGGCCACCCACGCUUCUCCUAUAAGGCUCUGAAACCACACUCACUCUCAGAUGAAGACUAACCUUGCAGUUAAAGCCCAGGUAGCUCUAUUUCAUGGCACCUCCCUGCCGUGGUCAGCCUAGUUCUCUAGGCCCUUGAGGUGCCCCAAGAAGCCAGACCAGAGUUGUUUCCUCUCUCUGGCUUUUUCCAUUUCUAAUUUGAAUGAAACACCACUACUGUUCACUGCGUGUUUAUCAAAAGGGUGGCAAGAACUGAAGUUCCCAGAUCAUUCUCUAAGCCACUCGAUCUUCUUGGAAGCAAGCAGCCUCUAAACAGUUCUUAUCUUUUUAAAAUCACCUGGGUAUUCCCUUUCUUUUUUUUUUUUAAUUUUUUUUUUUUUUAAGGUUUAUUUUUUGAGAGAGACAGAGCAUGAGCUGGGAAGGGGGCAGAGAGAGAGGGGGAGUCACGGAUUCUGAAGCAGGCUCCAGGCUCCAAGCUGUCAGCACGGAGCCUGAUGCGGGGAUCGAACCCACGAACCAUGAGAUCAUGGCCUGACCCCAAGUCAGCCGCCUAACUGACUGAGCUACCCAGGGGCCCUUGGGUAUUCCCUUUCUGUCUCUUUUUGCCAGUUAUCAGAUAAAGCACACUGCUGCUGGGGAGGUUUGGAGAAUUUUGAGGAGGGUGGGGAGUAAAUGGGGCUGGCAGGAAAGAUUACAGUGUCAUAAAUCAAGAAGUGAAGUUACUUGGAUUUUUUUUUUUUAAUCAAUUUUUUAAAAAAGUAAGUGAGGCAUAGAACUUUGAAAAAUGGAGGGACACUCAGAAGUAGCUCUACCAUAUUUGGUCAGACAUGAUUCCAUUUACUUUCCUAAAUUUUCCCCCCUCCCUCCCUUCCUUUCUUUGAAUGAAUAAAAUUGGCUAAAAAUACUCUAUAAAGAUUUCCUUUUUUGGUUAUUAAUAUUAUUUUGGGGGUACGUCCCAGGCUCUGUGUUCAUCUGCUUUGCCUUCAGACGUAGAAGACAAAGGCAUCUUCAGGCAGUACCCAGCUGAAGAUCUCAACGCAAAUCCACAAAAUAAUUUGAGGAAAGCAAUUUAGUUUUUAAAAAUUGAAUUGAACCUUGACUACAGUUGUGUUGAGAAUGAACACGUGAGGUAGGGCAGUAACCAGCCACUCUGGGACAGUCCAGGAAGUUUUGUCAAACACAGCCCACUCUCCUUCCCUUGCCAGUAGGAGCCAACUCAGAAGAAGGCAGACACCAGAGAUGACCCAGGCGGCCGCCAGAGGUGCAGCAGAGUCGGGGCUCUCAAAGAGGCCACACCGCUGUGGAUCACACUAAAGAGAGGCAGGCCUGCUUUAGAUAAAGUCUCAGCUCUUGAGCAGUGAAGCCCAGGCAGGCAGGCACAUCGACAGAACCCCAGAAGACUCCAUGCCCUGUGAUAAGGACCAGAGAGGGAGUCACAGCACCAGAACCCUGCCAUUAAGCUCCCAGGGUUCCCACCAGCUUGCCACCAGGAGAAGCUGGAGAGUGACACCAACAACUACAGUGUGUUUCUUAUGGCUCAGUCAGCUGGCAGAGGCCCUGGGGGUCUUCCAAGGCAUCUGGGAGCUAAAUGGGAUACCAGAGUUCCAGAGGUUCCUGUGAAGGCCCGAAACGGGCAGAAGAACAUCAAAGUAAGAUGAUUCUCAAGUAAGAUGAUUAAUCAAAUGGGAUGUCUCAAAAGGUGCCUUUUCCUACUGAUAAGAGCUAGACACUGGCGAGGACACCUCAAGCUCUUUGAAGAGAAAAAUAAGCCUAUGUUGUUGUGGGAAGCUAUGGAAGGAUUGGCUUUUCGUCACACUUGAUACCUACUGUUCCCACGCAAGUCCGAGCUUCCCAGACUCACCACAACCGCUGUCAAAGCCUCUACCUGGUCUCUGCUAUAUCCAGCCUCCCCCCCACAUUCUCUGCACAGCUGCCAUAGUCCUCUUUUAAAGAGGGAAAGUGAGGGGCGCCCGGGGGGCUCGGUCGGUUGAGCAUCCCACUCUUGUUUUCAGCUCAGGUCAUAAUCUCAUGGGUUUUGGGUUCGAGCCCCACAUUGGGCUCUGCGCCGCCAGCUUGGAGCCUGCUUAGGGUCCUCUUCCUUUCUCUCUGCCCCGCCCCUGCUAGUGCAUGCUCUCUCUCUCAAAAUAAAUAAACAUUUGACACAAAUAAUAAAAAGGGAGGAUGCAAUUGUGCUCCCUCUGCAAACUGAAAAGUCUCUACCAGCUCUCGAUCUUAUUUCGUAAAUUAAAAAAAAAAUCUGUGGGUCGGCAAACGUUUUCUGUAGUAGGCGACUCAGUAUUUUGGGUGUUGUCUGACCUGAUAUCUACUGUGCAGUGAUGGGCUGUGCUAGGGUGAAAAAAAACAGAUUGCCUAAGGGAAAAAAGCUGUCAUGCAAAUGUGGAGGUAGACGCUUCCACCAAGAACAGGUACGCCGCGUUUCAGUAAAACCGUAUUUGGCCCACAGGCUGUAUGCACCAAGUUCUGAGAGUCUCUGUGUUCACUCUCCCUUCUUUCUGGGAUACUUUUUCCUAAGAUUUUUGCAUAGAUGGCUCUAAGUGGUAGCUAACUCACUAAACAGAUUAAAAGUAUGCUCGGAGACUCAGAAAAAAAAAAAUCCCUAAAAAUGAGAAAAUAUUUUGGAAUGAAUUUGAUUUUAGAUAUUUCCCCAAAAGUAUUCAAGUAGUUGUAUUGAGGGUGGGGGGCAGAGAGAUCGGGGCUUUGUUGACACUCUUUCCACUUAUUUUAAGACUUGGUUGGCUUUUUAAAGUUUUCAUGACCUGGAGAGUGGGAAGGAGAGAGACAUCCUAAUUUUGACGUGUUCAAGUCUCGGUGUGGCCCUGCUCAUGGGGUGUUCUUAGGGAAGGUUUCUUCGAUCAGUGACUUGAAGGUGCCCCUCUGCCACCCAUCACAUUCUCCUGUUACAUUUUCCCAUUGCACUUAAUCACUACCUGAAAUUGUUGUAUUUUGGUUUUUUUUGUUUGUUUGUUUUUUGAGUGAGCACAAGUGGGGGAGGGGCAGAGAGAGAGAGGGAGACACAGAAUCCAAAGCAGGCUCCAGGCUCUGAGUGGUCAGCACAGAGCCCAACGCGGGGCUUGGACCCACGAACUGUGAGAUCAUGACCUGAGCCGAAGUUGGACACUGAACCAACUGAGCCAGCCAGGAACUCCUAGACUAUUUUUUUUUCUUUUUUUUGAAAUUGUGCUCUUUAUGUGCUUCCUCGUUGGUUGUUUCCCUUUUGUCGGUAGGCCUCCGAAGCCCAGGAAUCCCAUCUGUCUUGUACCUCUGUAUCCUGCACCUAGUAUAGUGUGUGACAGAGGGAAAACAUGCAAGAAAAUAUUUGUUGACUGACUGACAGACUCAAUGAAUGAAUGCCUACCUGAAGGAUAUAAGAAUGCAAGAGUAAAAGUGUUUCAAGAAUGAGAUCGGAUCCUAAGUGAAAUUCUCUGCUUGACCUUUGUAGAGCCUUAAAAGUGACUCGGAACCCAGGAUGGAUAACUGGAUCAGCUUUAGCUAAUGGCCUUAAAUCAAUUUAGGCAAAAGCAAAUCUGUCAGCUGAAGAACUUGUACCAAAUCAGUUUUGGUAGAACAUUUUGCAACUACAUCAUGGGAAGAUUUUUCAGCUCUUUAUUUAUCUUUUGUCAAUUUGGUCUCUUUUCCCAAAAUGUUUACUUUUUUCCUUCCACUUCUUAGCUUUUAAUUAACUUUUGGCUUAUUCUCUACAGAAACAUAAUGUAAACAUCCAACAAUGAAAAAAUUAUCGAGAAAAUCAGAUUUCCUUGAGUUCUACACAUGAAUUUAGAAACACAGUUAAAUAUGAAGCACAUUCAUUCAGUGUAUAGCAAGCAUCUGAUUUGUGUCAGGCACUGUGCUGGGCAUCGGAAAAUACCACAGUGAACAUGUCCCUGCCUUCAGACUUCUGAGAGAAAAGAAUGUAAAACAGACCAAAACCAAAACCAAAACAAACAAACAAGUCAAGUGUUGAUAGUUACUAUGAAGGAAAUAAACAAGGAGCUGAGAUGGGCAGAACUUACUUUUGUUAGGGUGAUAAUAAAGGUCUUUGUGAGAAAUAAAAUGUAGGAAAUGAUCAGAAGAGGCUAGCUUUACGUAGGGUAGGGAAAAAUAUAGUCCAAGGUGAAGAUACCAUAUAUGCACUAACGCUGAGGUAGGAGAGCUUAGCUUGUUUCAAGAACUGAAAGAAAAGUGGUGUUGCUGAUUCACAGUGAGCGAAGAAGACAAGGCAUGAUGACAGCCUGGUCCCCGGGGCUUUGUAGGCCAUGUUAAUGAGUUUGGACUUUAAAAGCAGGGGUUUCCCAAAGGAGAAUGAUGCCACCUUAUUUAUGUCUAAGGCAAGUCGAAAAGAAGGGAGGAGACCUGAGAGAAGGCUUCGUAAUGCACAUGGGAAACAGAGGUGGGCCAGGCGGGCCGUGGCAAUGGAGAUAGGGAGGAGAGGACAGAGUUACAGUUUGGCAGUAGAGGAGUUAUUGGUGAAUUUGAUGCCGGA